AACGAACGCUGGCGGCGCGCUUAACACAUGCAAGUCGAACGAGAAGGCGUAGCAAUACGCUUGUACAGUGGCGAACGGGUGAGUAAUACGUGGGCGACCUACCCUCGAGUGGGGAAUAACCCGCCGAAAGGCGGGCUAAUGCCGCGUACGCUUCCAUCUUUAUUGGAGGUGGAAGGAAAGCCGUGCCGUGGGCACGGCGCUCAAGGAUGGGCUCACGUCCUAUCAGCUUGUUGGUAGGGAACGGCCUACCAAGGCUCCGACGGGUAGCUGGUCUGAGAGGACGAUCAGCCACACUGGCACUGCGACACGGGCCAGACUCCUACGGGAGGCAGCAGUGAGGAAUAUUGCGCAAUGGGCG
rnacentral:rRNA from 1 species